GUCGGUGAUGACCAGUCCAACCAAUUGAGGUGUAGGGAGCUCCAAGUCCCUGUGCUACAGGGAGAACCUGCUUGGAGUUUCUACAUUCAAAUGCUAUUUUGGGACUUGUCUGAGGG
rnacentral:snoRNA from 1 species